UACGUAGGUGGCGAGCGUUGUCCGGAAUUACUGGGCGUAAAGGGCGUGUAGGCGGCCUUUUAAGUCAGACGUGAAAACUUUGGGCUUAACCCAGAAACUGCGUUUGAAACUGGAGGGCUAGAGGACCGGAGAGGGUAGUGGAAUUCCCAGUGUAGCGGUGAAAUGCGUAGAUAUUGGGAAGAACACCAGUGGCGAAGGCGACUGCCUGGACGGCACCUGACGCUGAGGCGCGAAAGCUAGGGGAG
rnacentral:rRNA from 1 species